UCUCAUUCUGCCUGCACAACCGCUCUGGGAGGCUGGAUGUUAUGGAUGAAGAAUCUGAGCCUUUAAAGACAUCUAGGAACUUACUCAAGGUCACACAGCCAGUAAGAGGCCAGACUCGGUUGGUAUGACUCCAAAGCCACUGUCUUAACCCCUCCUCUCACCCCCAACACAUACACACAGACACAGUGCGGGACACACCCAUAGGCGGAGGCCCUGAGACAGACCCUGCCAUCAGCUGUCAGGCAGAGGCCCCAGACAUCUGGCUCAGCAGAUAAGAGGGACGAAGAAGGGAUGGAGCUGUUUCCCAAGGGAGGGGCUGUCCCUCAAGUCAGGCCUGACCCUUUUCUGGAGGAGCCAGAGAAGGGGCCCUCCUAGGCUGAGAGGGGAGGCCCAGACUGACAGGGAGACCCACCUGCCCUGAGGAGGGGUGGGUCAGCCACAGAGAGAGAUCCCAGGGGAUGCCUGUGAGAGACAAGGCAGAAGCAGGACAGAGGGACAACGGAAGCAGAUCACCCCCGACUCCUUCCUCCCCCUCAGGUCCCUCGGCUGGCUGGUUUGACCUUGAACUCUCACUGACCGAGAAGAACCAUUUCUUGAGGGUUUUCCCUCCCUGUCGCCAUCUCAAGCUUUGUACCCUGGCUGCCUGAGUCUGAAUCCUGUUCCAGCUCGCUGCUUAGGAGCUGCGUGACCUCUGAGAAGUUAUGUCACCUCUCUGUGGCCCACUUUCCUCAGAGGGUCCCACCUGUCCUUCAAGAUGCCUCCUCCUGGAAGCCCUCCCUGCCCACUUCGCUCUCUUAUCAGAGAAUUCCGGAGGCCUGAGAAGCUGCAGCUUAGCCUUGGUGAGCUGACUGCUCCCCGUUACUGCCUAUGAUCAGGACCGACCGUCUCUUCAUCGUCUCUUCAUCGUCGAGUCAUUUCGAGAGAGCUCUCCCGUGUGUUAGCUCAUGCAAUCCUCCCGACGGCCCUGGGAAGGCGGGAUCAUACAUUUACAACCUUGGGUCUAAGGUUCAGGGAAGCUGAAAUGUCUUGCUCGCAGAGCGCUGGCUGAGACCCAAGUCCCGGCUUCCUGGCUCCAAAUCUCACGCAUUCCAGUCCACUAUGGCGCUUCUCCUCAGCUGGGGCUCCCUCUGGGCGCUCAAUUCAAACUCGAAGUUUCCUGGCCGCCGAGGUAAGAAGG
rnacentral:lncRNA from 1 species